GCCACCGUAGCUCAGUCGGUAGAGCAGCUGAUUUGUAAUCAGCUGGUCGGGGGUUCGAAUCCCUUCGGUGGCU
rnacentral:tRNA from 1 species